CACAACUGAAGCAACAGAAUAACAACAAUGUACCAGCUGCCAAGAUUGUUUAAUAUCUCCUCACAUCUGAAGACCUGUGUCUGGCUCGGGACAUUGAUUUUCAAAGGACAUAGAUGAGCUGGCAUAUGAGCUGGAUGGUGUGAGGAUUGGGAACUAUUCCCUGGAAGAAUGAAUUGAAAUAUCCCUGGAUAUUAAGUCUGGAAAAAAGGAAGAUUUGGGAGGAAAAACAACAUUUCUCACAUUUGAAGGACUGUCAUAUGGAAAUGAGAUUGGAUUUAUUCUGUUUGCCCCAUGAGGACAAAGGGAGUUAUAACUCAGAAUUUGCAAGCCAAACCCAAGUCUGGUCCAAAGAAAAUCUUCCAAAGAAUAAGCUGUCCAAAAGUA